GUAGUGAUAAGAUCAUAAAUGUACAUGAUUCUAUAUUAAUUUCUUCAUGUUUUCUUAGCUAGUUUUCCAUCUAUUUGAGUCAUUUACUUUAUUUUUAUGUUUUGUAGGUGUUAUGGAGCAAAUUAGAAGAAAAGAAGCCAAAUCAGCAAAUCUGCCUGUGCAGAUCAGUCAACUUCAAAGUGAAACUGAGAACAGCUCAGAGCGAGUGAGAAAGUGUGCUUUAUAUGGUUGGAAAUCCUUGGAUGUCUAGUUUCUAGAACUUUUAACGGUUCGUCCAUAUCAUUUUUCUACAAAACGUUAUGGCCGAAUUAGUACAGGAAGGUCAGACAUUCCGAGAAUCUGAUACUUUAACUGAAGUGGCAGCACACCUAACUUGGCAAAGUUGCAAGACACCAAACUUUGACUGCAGCUGCAGCACAAUACUUUUGAAAAUAUGAAGCUCUAUAUCCACCAAUUUUGACAAGGUUGCAGCCACCAUUCCUUUACAACAACUAUAGCACACCGGUUUUGACAAAGCUGCAGCCAUCCAUCUUUGACAAAGAAACAUUUCUAGCUGCAAUAACUAGUGCUAGGAGCUCUAUAAAAUGAAGGGCUGGAAUGAGUAUUGAAAAAGGAGUAUUGGGAGGGAGAUGACCAGAUUAGAGAACAGAAUGGGAGAGCAGAAGAUAGAGAGAGACAUUUAGUUUAGACUUAUGUCUGCCACACAAGAGGAGAAAGAACGACACCCUUUCUGCCAUCAUCCAGCUAUCAUCUCUUCCUCUUCCUUUCUUCUAGUUUGUGUUUUCUUCAUAACUAUGUCUAGCUAAAUACUUUUGUAGCUAGGGGCGAUUUCAAAGCCCCGAACAUGUUCAAUUCAUAUUAAUAAUUCAGUUUUUGGUUUUCUAUAUUGUCAAUUGAGUGUUUGAUUCACCGUGUCUACAAGAUGAAUCUUUACUUAUUUGCUUAGGUGCGCAACUAAAUGAAUAAGUUAGGAUUCUAAUGCUAGGAAUAACACUAGAUUCGUAUAUGUCUUGUGUCCAUUCCAAUUGAGUAGCAAAAUGUUUUCGCGAAUUACAUGUGGCUCAAACCAUAGGUUUAGCAAGACUACCAACGUACUUGUGACCCUAGAUUUAUCCAAACCCUUUUCUUGCUUAAUGAUUUUGAUAUGUUAAACUUAGCGAGCUUGUGUCUAGGUUGCAUAUUUGAAAAUAGAUUAAGUGGUGAGCUUGUAUUCACUUAACGAGGAACUAAGAAAGGGUAAUGGGUUAACUCGAGCUUGUGAGUUAAUUUCGGGUAAAUUCAAUUGAGAUUUAGAAUUCCAUAACUGAGCUUUGAUAUGAAUGAAUGUGUUCGGUGGUAGAGAAUGAACUCUUAGCUUUGUUUCUAUUAAUAGUUUUAGAAUCUUAUCAAAUCUGUUUCUGUUUGAUUAGCUUUCCGUGUUCCGUUUUACGUGAAUUAUUUCAUAUAGCAAAUCAACUCCAAUUGUUAUGAAAUUUUGUAUACAUAUUGUUCAAUGUGUCUUUAGUGUCCUGUAAAAGUUUCAGAAAAUUCCAUUGAGUCUAAGUUAGUUAAUUAAUUUAUUUUCGUUAACUGUUCAGUAGCAUAGUUUAUAGUAGUUUGUGACAUUUGAUUAGCAGUUUAGAAACAAUCUUCAGCGGGUAAUGACCCUUGCUUGAUCACUAUAUUACCAACGAUGAUGUUUGAAUGCAAGGUUUAAGUUUUGCAUCUUUUAAGACGUACCAGGUAGCCAACUGCAACAGUUUCAAGGUAUGCUUCUUAUUUCUCACAAUAUCAAAUCUUUCAUCAAUUUGUUUAAUGAUGUUUAAGUAUAACGAAGGUAAUCAAUUGAUGGAAAUUAUUCUAUGCACCGACGGUGUAAGUGACCCAACCCUUAUAAAAUAAUCUCAACCCUUGAUAUUUAUUAUCAACUUUAUUUUUAAUAAUAAAAAAGUGUAUUUAAUGCAAUCUAACCAUUCAUUUAUGUUGGUGCAAGUGCACGGCGGUGCUCUGAAUAAUCUCUCAUCAAUUGAUUUCCAAUGAAAAAAUGGGCAAAUCUAUGGACUAAAGCAAGGUUCAACAAAGACGUGAAACAGGUUGCAUAAGAGAGAAAACCAAACAGAUGCACACUCACCAGCUUUGGGUUUUGUGUGAUCAAUUGCGGUAACCUAUGAAAUCAUAUUUUUAGUGUAGAUAGCCUAUUCCAAAUUCAUUUCUAAGGCAAGUCCUUGCAAGCUAUUUGCCUUAUUUCAAUUAUUACAAAGAACAUUCACUCGAUCAUUUAAAUUCAUAGACUUUUUCAUUUUAUGAAUUGCAUAAAUUCUGAUUCAUUGCGUUUGGGAAACUGAUUAGUUUCAUUCAUAGUCUGUUUGCCAAAUUGUGACAGUAAGAUAAAUUGCAACUUUUGGUUCUGCUUUUCUGUUGGGAGCUUCUCUCAGUGUCACAGUCUGUUUAGGAAAAUUCCCUUUAUUUCAGUUUGAUAGUUAUUCUAUUACGUAGUUUUAUCGUAUAAGGAUUAUGAUGCAGACAUGGAGAAGGAUAACGAAAAUAGAAAUGUACAUCAUUCAGGUCAAAGAAUAUUAGGAGAGCCAAAGAAAAAGCUUGCUAUAACGACUAAAUUUAUUUUAGUUUCCCACCCAGCUCAUGCUUUUUGGUAUAUCUUAAUAUAUUAAGAUUAGUUGCUCUUGAUUUCUCAUUCCUUCGUUUGAUCUUGGAGUGCAGCUAUAAUUAUUGUUGAAUUAGGAUAUAAUUUGGUUGAGUUCUCCCAUACACAAUUACUCUUCUGCAAUUUACAAAUUCUCAAGGUUUUUCUAAUUUUCAAAAUUUUACUGCUAGGGAUAUGGCGUUGUUCUUAUUAAUACUGAAGAGGCAGGUACCUUGAUAGUCACCAAUUUUCAGCUUCUUUUUCUGAUUGAGGGAACUAGGAAUGUUAUUCCGCUUGGCACGAUACCUUUGGCAACAAUUGAGAAGUUCAACAAAAUUCGAUUUCUGUUCAGUUUUCAUCCUGAGCUGAGGUCAUCAUCAGCGUGGUGCUUCAAUCGAUUUCCCAAGUUUGAGACUUUGUGCAUGUGUAGAAUUUGACUCAGUCUUAAAUGGUGCUUGGAUAUGGUUGGAGGCUAGCCAAGGAUUCUUUUGUCCGUCAAGCCUCAGCUCUAUUUCAAAAAUGUAAAUCACUUAGCAAGGACAGAGAAGUAAACAAUAACUUUAUCUGCUGUGUGUCAAAACUAAGUGAAGUUUCAGCAGUGCAAUCAAGUUUAGUUGGAUUUGGAUAAUAUCUGUUUUUCAUGUGCUCUACUGCAUCACAACCUUUGCUUUGGGAAGGCACAAUAUUCAGAAAGGUUUAGGUAUGCUAGGGAUACAUCAUUCGGAAAGAGUCAUUUGAACUUCUGGAGCCAGUCAACAGUUCUGCUUUGGAUUGUGUGCACCGUGUGCUUAGUCAAACAGUUUUUCUGGUUAGAUAUUAUGUACCUGACUCUGAGGCAUGGUUUUAUCUCGGCACAUCUAGCACCUGAGAUCAUUUAUUCUCAUGCUAACGGGUGAGAAAAGAGGAUUUGGCAAAGGACAGGAAACUGCGUUCGAAGCAUUUUAAUUGUAUUUGCGAUUUUGUUGAACUAGGUUGUUUUCUUUGCUGCUUUUUUGUUUCUGAUUGGUUCAAGACAUCUACCGUUGCUGAAUAUAUAAUUCUAUUUCAGUCUAUUUGAAAACUAGAGAAAUCAGGUUAGGAAAGUUUUUUUUUUUUUUUCCUUGAAAUAGGUCAGGAAGGUUCUGUGCAGGGAGUUGGAGAGAUAUUUUGUUUAAUAUAUGAUUUGUGUCCCUGAUAAUUGAUUGUUGGAAAUAGUAUAAUCUUGGGUCAAUUUGAAAAGUAUUGUGAAUCCACACACAACUGUCGGAAGAAAGACAAGGACAAUGAUGGUUGAAAAUUUGGCUAUUGGCAGUGAGCAUCCCAUAAGGAUUCAAACAAUGACAACAAGUGACAUAGAUGAUGCUUCUGCCACGAUUGAAGGGGUAACUGGAGGUUAACUCUCUUCUAUGCUCAGAUUCUUGAAGCAUCAAAUGAUGAAGAGGUUGCCUUACUGUCACAGAUGUUCAGGUGAAAAGCAAGCACUACUGAAUUGUGUUGGCGUUAGCAUGAAUACGACGACUUUGUCUUCAGAUCGGCUAACACCUUUUGUGCAUACAUACCCAGAGCAACUAAACAACUAUUUUCUGGAAAAUGCUCUAGCAGCAACUGUAAUUAAAGUUAAACUAAGAUAGCCUAUUUGUUACCAGCUGCUAUCCAUAUUGGAAAGAAGUGAUAUUGUACUAUUUUGUCCUUUAUAUUCUCUGUCCUCUCAAGUUUAGUUCUAUACUAACAAUUGGAGGUGAUGAACAAGAGGGAGUAGGAAAAGGAACAAUGGAUUAAAGGGAAGCCUUCAGUUCA